rnacentral:rRNA from 1 species
UACGAAGGAUUCGAGCGUUAUCCGGAUUUAUUGGGUUUAAAGGGUGCGUAGGUGGUCUAAUAAGUCAGUGGUGAAAGCCCGCAGCUUAACUGCGGAACUGCCAUUGAUACUGUUAGUCUUGAGUACAGUUGAGGUGGGAGGAAUGUGUCAUGUAGCGGUGAAAUGCUUAGAUAUGACACAGAACACCGAUUGCGAAGGCAGCUCACUAAGCUGUAACUGACACUGAGGCACGAAAGUGUGGGUAGCAAACAGG